UACAGAGGUCCCAAGCGUUUGUUCAGAUUCACUGGGCGUAAAGGGUGCGUAGGCGGUCGGGUAAGUCUGAUGUGAAAUCUCACAGCUUAACUGUGAAACUGCAUUGGAUACUAUCCGGCUCGAGGAAUGGAGGGGAGACUGGAAUACUUGGGUGUAGCAGUGAAAUGCGUAGAUAUCAAGUGGAACACCAGUGGCGAAGGCGAGUCUCUGGACAUUUCCUGACGCUGAGGCACGAAGCCAGGGGAGCAAACGGG
rnacentral:rRNA from 1 species